ACCAAUGAGGGAGAUUUCAAAUUCUGACGAGGCAGACGGAUAUUUUACCGUUGUUGGAGGACAGGAUGAAUUCAACAAUUCGCGGUCUGGAUUAAGUCUUUUGGAUCGUCAGAGGUGCGUUUGAUUGUGGCAACUAACAAUUACCUUCACAACGAGGAAAAACCAAGGUCACUGCAACUUCUGCAGAUGUACAGGGAAGCCUCACUGUACCCAGCACCCCAAGGCUGAUUGCAUUCGGUAAGGCUAUCAAAAUGCUUUUAUUAGUAUUUGCAUUUUUACCAAUGUUUCAUUUUUAGUACGUUUUAGGUUUGAGCAACUUG